rnacentral:SRP_RNA from 1 species
GCCGGGAGUGGUGGUGGGCACCUGUAAUCUCAGCUACUUGGGAGGCUGAGGCAGGAGCAUCACUUGAACCCAGGAGGCAUAGGUUGCAGUGAGCCAAGAUAGCACCUCUGUACCCUAGCCUGGGUGACAGAGUGAGACUCUGUCUCAA